rnacentral:misc_RNA from 1 species
CAAGCACCCUGGACCAGCAUUUUCAGAUCGAGACCGGGAACCAGUCGCACGGGUUUUACACCCGGUCCGAUGGCACGGCCGUCGCGUUCCACGCCACCCCCGGCUACGAGACCUAUCGCGGCCUCGGCUGGCACGGCGUGAUUGUGCGACGGCCUGACUGAUUCGCCCGGAAAGCCAGCUCACCGGCGAUGAAGCUCCAAAAUUAACAAGCCGCCCGUUUUACGCAUGCAGCAUUGCAAAAUGUGCAUGCGGGAAACCAUUUGGGCAAUUUUGCGUUUACUUCGGCCA